rnacentral:lncRNA from 1 species
GUCGAGCUACUUUGAAUGAUUCGACAAACUUGAAAAUUAAAAAAUAGAACCAGGAAUGUGGAAGAAAUAACAAAAAAACUCACGUGACACCCAAAUAACAUUCUUGACUCAAUAUACGCUUCCAACUCUCUUUGGUUAAAUGAAAAUUCCUGCAAAGAAAAGCUCCACAAAUUUAGUCUAACAAGUACAUAUAGAAAGUAAUUAAUGAAAUAUUAGCUUCAAGAAAAUAUUUCAAAUAUCUUACAUUGAAUAUUAGAACAAGAUCAACAACCAUCACAAUAAGUGAUCAAUAUAUUUCAGUAGCUG